rnacentral:tRNA from 1 species
GUUAAGUUAGUUUAAAAAACGUUAAAUUGUGGUUUUAAAAUUAAGCUAGUCUUACUUAACU